rnacentral:rRNA from 1 species
AUUGAACGMUGSCGGCAGGCCUAACACAUGCAAGUCGAACGGUAACAGGAAGAAGCUUGCUUCUUUGCUGACGAGUGGCGGACGGGUGAGUAAUGUCUGGGAAACUGCCUGAUGGAGGGGGAUAACUACUGGAAACGGUAGCUAAUACCGCAUAACGUCGCAAGACCAAAGAGGGGGACCUUCGGGCCUCUUGCCAUCGGAUGUGCCCAGAUGGGAUUAGCUAGUAGGUGGGGUAACGGCUCACCUAGGCGACGAUCCCUAGCUGGUCUGAGAGGAUGACCAGCCACACUGGAACUGAGACACGGUCCAGACUCCUACGGGAGGCAGCAGUGGGGAAUAUUGCACAAUGGGCGCAAGCCUGAUGCAGCCAUGCCGCGUGUAUGAAGAAGGCCUUCGGGUUGUAAAGUACUUUCAGCGGGGAGGAAGGGAGUAAAGUUAAUACCUUUGCUCAUUGACGUUACCCGCAGAAGAAGCACCGGCUAACUCCGUGCCAGCAGCCGCGGCAAUACGGAGGGUGCAAGCGUUAAUCGGAAUUACUGGGCGUAAAGCGCACGCAGGCGGUUUGUUAAGUCAGAUGUGAAAUCCCCGGGCUCAACCUGGGAACUGCAUCUGAUACUGGCAAGCUUGAGUCUCGUAGAGGGGGGUAGAAUUCCAGGUGUAGCGGUGAAAUGCGUAGAGAUCUGGAGGAAUACCGGUGGCGAAGGCGGCCCCCUGGACGAAGACUGACGCUCAGGUGCGAAAGCGUGGGGAGCAAACAGGAUUAGAUACCCUGGUAGUCCACGCCGUAAACGAUGUCGACUUGGAGGUUGUGCCCUUGAGGCGUGGCUUCCGGAGCUAACGCGUUAAGUCGACCGCCUGGGGAGUACGGCCGCAAGGUUAAAACUCAAAUGAAUUGACGGGGGCCCGCACAAGCGGUGGAGCAUGUGGUUUAAUUCGAUGCAACGCGAAGAACCUUACCUGGUCUUGACAUCCACAGAACUUUCCAGAGAUGGAUUGGUGCCUUCGGGAACUGUGAGACAGGUGCUGCAUGGCUGUCGUCAGCUCGUGUUGUGAAAUGUUGGGUUAAGUCCCGCAACGAGCGCAACCCUUAUCCUUUGUUGCCAGCGGUCCGGCCGGGAACUCAAAGGAGACUGCCAGUGAUAAACUGGAGGAAGGUGGGGAUGACGUCAAGUCAUCAUGGCCCUUACGACCAGGGCUACACACGUGCUACAAUGGCGCAUACAAAGAGAAGCGACCUCGCGAGAGCAAGCGGACCUCAUAAAGUGCGUCGUAGUCCGGAUUGGAGUCUGCAACUCGACUCCAUGAAGUCGGAAUCGCUAGUAAUCGUGGAUCAGAAUGCCACGGUGAAUACGUUCCCGGGUCUUGUACACACCGCCCGUCACACCAUGGGAGUGGGUUGCAAAA